rnacentral:rRNA from 5 species
UCUUGACCUCGGAUCAGGUAGGGAUACCCGCUGAACUUAAGCAU